rnacentral:rRNA from 1 species
UACGAAGGGGGCUAGCGUUGCUCGGAAUCACUGGGCGUAAAGCGCACGUAGGUGGGUCGCUAAGUCGGGGGUGAAAUCCUGGAGCUCAACUCCAGAACUGCCUUCGAUACUGGCGAUCUUUGAGUCCGGGAGAGGUGGGUGGAACUGCGAGUGUAGAGGUGAAAUGCGUAGAUAUCGGGAGGAACACCAGUGGCGAAGGCGACUACCUGGCCUGUUCUUGACGCUGAGGCGCGAAAGCGUGGGGAGCGAACCGG